rnacentral:misc_RNA from 1 species
CCGAGUAUCGGUACCCUCUGGGUACCUGCUCCCACCAAUUGUGAACCUUUUUCGUUGCCUCGGCGGACCGGUGGUACCCCCACCCCUCGGCGCAAGCUGGGGAGAGUCCGCCAGAGGAUUUUCAAACCAGUCUUAACCUUGAAAUCUGAGUCCAAACAAAUAAAAACA